UACAGAGGGGGCAAGCGUUGUCCGGAAUUAUUGGGCGUAAAGGGCUCGUAGGCGGUUUGUCGCGUCGGGAGUGAAAACACUGGGCUUAACUCAGUGCUUGCUUCCGAUACGGGCAGACUAGAGGUAUUCAGGGGAGAACGGAAUUCCUGGUGUAGCGGUGAAAUGCGCAGAUAUCAGGAGGAACACCGGUGGCGAAGGCGGUUCUCUGGGCCUGUACUGACGCUGAGGAGCGAAAGCGUGGGGAGCGAACAGG
rnacentral:rRNA from 1 species